rnacentral:rRNA from 1 species
GUCGAACGCUGGCGGCGUGCCUAAUACAUGCAAGUAGAACGCCGUUGCGCACGCGUGUGUAAAGCGUAGGUAAAUGCCUCAUUGCGGGGGAUUACUAUUUGAAACGAUAGCUAAUUCCGCAUACUGUGAGCUGGACCUGCGUUGUAUUAGCUAGUUGGGGAGGUAAACGCUCACCAAGGCGACGAUACAUAGCCGACCUGGGACGGGGAUCGGCCACACGGGGACGUGGACACGGCCCCGACUCCUACGGGAGGGAGCAGUAGGGAAACUUCGGCAAUGGGCGGAAGUCUGACCGAGCAACGCCGCGGGAGUGAAGAAGGGUUUCGGAUCGUAAAGCUCUGUUGUGAGAGGAGCGGUAACUAACCAGAAAGGGACGGCUAACUACGUGCCAGCAGCCGCGGUAAUAC